rnacentral:sRNA from 1 species
GCAACGUGGUUGGUAGCCGGCUGGUCCAUA